CUAUCACUGAGAGUCCUACUGUACAUUACAUUACAAAUAUCACACUGUGUGUUCUAUCCAGUCCUACAGUCGAUGGACAGCAGGCUGCCUUCCUCUCAACCCUGAGUGCUCUACCUGACCUGCAGUAUGUGGACCUAAAGGUGCCUCUCUUUAACCUGCGUUGGGCUCAAGCAGUCAUCUCCCUCAUCCGGACUUGUCUUAACAUGAAGAAGUUUCAUGUCAGCACAGAAUGUGGUAAUUUUCAUCAUGGUCUAUUGUUACACGAAGCACUACAGCUAUUGAAGAGCUCUGACAGACGUUCGGAUUGUAUCCUGACAUUAACAGGGUACCAGUGCAAUAAACCCACUGAUAAAUGCAGAGAUAAUGAGGAUAUUUGGCAAAUGCAACACAAUGGAUCGCAUCACAAAUGAAGGAGAAUCUGUAUCUAUCUAUGAUGAUCCUGAUGACUACUCUGGCCAUGAUUAUA